AUACGGAGGGUGCAAACGUUGCUCGGAAUUAUUGGGCGUAAAGCGCGUGUAGGCGGUCGGCUAAGUCGGAUGUGAAAGCCCCGGGCUCAACCCGGGAAGUGCGUCCGAUACUGGCAGACUUGAGUACGGGAGAGGGUAGCGGAAUUCCCGGUGUAGAGGUGAAAUUCGUAGAUAUUGGGAAGAACACCGGUGGCGAAGGCGGCUACCUGGACCGGUUCUGACGCUGAGGUGCGAAAGCGUGGGGAGCAAACAGGAUUAGAAACCCGAGUAGUCC
rnacentral:rRNA from 1 species